GCCCCCGUAGCUCAGUUGGAAGAGCGCAGGUUUCGUAGCCCGGAGGUCGCCAGUUCGAAUCUGGCCGGGGGAG
rnacentral:tRNA from 1 species